AGAACGGCUCGGGCGGAACCAACGGGCAGCCGCGGGGGCGUUGUGGGCCGCGGCGCGUUUCCCCGGCUCCGUGGCUCUGGGGCACUGAGGAGCGGCGCCCGCGGGGCAGCGAGGAGCCCGAUGCAGGGUUCUGCGCGUCAUUUCCGGUCCCGCGGGCGCCCCGUGAAGCCCACCUGGAUCCGCCAGCGCUGUGCCACUCCCCAGUGCCGAGCUCCGAGCUGUCUCCGCGGCCUCGCGCCCGGCCCCUCCACCGCGCACCUCUUAGGCCCCGCCCGCCAGCGUCCCUUUGUUGUGAAGGCGCCGGGGCCUAGCGCUAUGCCUGCGGCGGAGACUGCAUCAGGCUCUCGCGUCUGCUUCUACGCUUUGCCUGGGAGAGGCCCUGGUGGCCUCGUUCCUGGCGCCCGGAGUCCCUGCUGCGGCCCCACCCCCGGGCGGUCACGGUGACCCAUGCUGCCCAGCCUGGAGGUAAAAUCGUUCGUGGCUGUGGCUUCAGCAUGUCGUCCUCGGUGAAAACCCCAGCACUGGAAGAGCUGGUUCCUGGCUCCGAAGAGAAGCCGAAAGGCAGGUCGCCUCUCAGCUGGGGCUCUCUGUUUGGUCACCGAAGUGAGAAGAUUGUUUUUGCCAAGAGCGACGGCGGCACAGAUGAGAACGUACUGACCGUCACCAUCACGGAGACCACGGUCAUCGAGUCAGACUUGGGUGUGUGGAGCUCGCGGGCGCUGCUCUACCUCACGCUGUGGUUCUUCUUCAGCUUCUGCACGCUCUUCCUCAACAAGUACAUCCUGUCCCUGCUGGGAGGCGAGCCCAGCAUGCUAGGUGCGGUGCAGAUGCUGUCCACCACGGUUAUCGGGUGUGUGAAAACCCUCGUUCCUUGCUGUUUAUAUCAGCACAAGGCCCGGCUUUCCUACCCACCCAACUUCCUUAUGACGAUGCUGUUUGUGGGUCUGAUGAGGUUUGCAACUGUGGUUUUGGGUUUGGUCAGCCUGAAAAAUGUGGCGGUUUCGUUUGCUGAGACGGUGAAGAGCUCCGCCCCCAUCUUCACGGUGAUCAUGUCUCGGAUGAUUCUGGGGGAGUACACAGGACGUCCCAGUGAUCGGGAGGAGCGGGAAGAGCUUCAGCUACAACCAGGACGUGGUGCUGCUGCUUCUGACAGACGGAGUCCUGUUCCACCUUCAGAGCGUCACGGCGUACGCCCUCAUGGGGAAAAUCUCCCCGGUGACUUUCAGGUCCCGCAGGCCCUGCACCGAGUCGCCUUGUCCAUGGCGCUGCCCUGCCCCAUGCUUCCUGCGUCCUGAGUAGGAGGUAUCUCCGAGACAGGAAAAGUGGCCGCUCUCUCUCACUUUUUCUGGAACUCAUGGUGGUCUCCUGGGCUUGGUCACUGUCUCUCACCAGCAUGUUUCUUUGUGCGGUCAGGAAUUAUUUCCAAAUGCUCCUGAAGCCUAGUGUUUUAGUGAACAUUAGUGAUUGUUAGCAGUGGUUCAAAAAAAAAAAACUUUUUUUUUUUUUUUGAGACAGAGUCUUGCUCUGUGACCCAGGCUGGAGUGUGGUGGUGCCAUCUCAGCUCACUGCAACCUCCGCCUCCCUGCUCAAGUGAUCCUCUCGCCUCAGCCUCCUGAGUAGCUGGGACUACAGGUGUCCACCACCACGCUGGGCUAAUUUUUGUUUUUUGUUAUUUUAUUUUAUUUUACUUUUUUUGAGAGAUGGGAUUUUGCUGUGUUGUCCAGGCUGAUCUUGAACUCCUGGCCUCAAGUGAUCCACCCACCUUGGCCUCCCAAAGCGCUAGGACUGCAAUUAUGAGCCACCACACUCAGCCCAAUUAUUUUUCCUUUUUUUUUUUUUUUUUUUGGAGCCAGAGUCUCACGCUGUUGCCCAGGCUGGAGUGCAGUGGCGCGAUCUCGGCUCACUGCAACCCCACCUCCCAGGUUCAAGACAUUUUCCUGCCUCAGUCUCCCGAGAAGCUGGGAUUACAGGUGCCUGCCACCAUGCCCAGCUAAUUUUUGUAUUUUUAGUGGAGACAGGGUUUCAUCAUCUUGGCCAGGCUGGUCUCGAACUCCCGACCUCAGGUGAUCCGUCUGCCUUGGCCUCCCAAAGUGCUGGGAUUACAGGCGUGAGCCACCGCAUGUUGCCCAAUUAUUUUUCAGUAGUAUUUUUUUGUUUUAUUUAAUUUCAUUUUAUAAGAGCAGUGAAUUAAGUACACAUUAUGGAAAGUUUGCAAAGGGUACUUCCUGUCACCCUUUUUUUGCACGGUCCUAACACUGUGUACUUGGUACCCUUUUCACCCAACAAAUGAUCUUAAGGGAUUGCUUUCCCUGGGGCUACAAAGGCACUGUGAGUGUGUGGGAGAUGUUCUUGUUUUUUUUUUUUUUUUUGAGACAGAGUCUCGCUCUGUCACCCAAACUGGAGUGCAGUGAGUGGUGAGAUCUCAGCUCACUGCAGCCUCCUCCUCCCGCGUUCAAGCUAUUGUCCUGCCUCAGCCUUCCAAGUAGCUGGGAUUACAGGCACCCGCCACCACACCCAGCUAGUUAUUUGUAUUUUUAACAGAGAUGGGAUUUCACCGUGUUAGCCAGGAUGGUCUCGAACUCCUAACCUCGUGAUCCGCCUGCCUCGGCCAUCCACAGUGCUGGGAUUACAGGCAUGCGCCACGGCGCCCGGCCUCCUACAGUGCUGGGAUUACAGGCUGAGCCCCCACGCCCAGCUUCCCAUAGUGCUGGGAUUACAGGCGUGAGCCCCCGUGCCUGGCCUCCCACAGUGCUGGGAUUCUAGCACCCGACCUCCCACAGUGCUGGGAUGACAGGCCGAGCCCCCGUGCCCAGCCUCCUACCUGUGGUGGUUUCCAGCCCUGAGGUUGAGGACAAACCUCUCGUGUUUAACUUGGGAGGAGAUGUGUACGUUCCUUUUCUUUUUUGGACUCUGAGUAUGAGGCAGGCUGUUCUGAGGUCCCCGUGGGGUGAGCCUGUCUGUCCUCCCUCAGAGCCCACCGUUCCUAUCAUCAUCUAGCACCUGUCCGGUUCCCCACGUGAGCCUUGGGCAGGACGCUGCAGUGUUGAUGGUUUGGGUUACGUGGCGUUUACCUGGGCGCCGUCCUUGCUGAAAAAGGAAACGUCCACACUGAAUGUUUCUGGGGCGCGUGGUGUGUGUCAGGCGCCCACCCUGUCCCACUCUCCCCAAGGGACAGUAGUACGGCACACUGGGGCCACCAGCCAGCUCAACUCAUCCUCCUGUGUCACGCACCCCCGAGGGCGCAGGAGGCCUGAGGAGUGGCUACUGGAGCCGUGUGUUAGGCAGAGGCUUCUGACCAUGUCUGAGCUCUUUACCCCCAAUCUCGCAGCCGGCGGAUUCCCAUGCCCGGUGCAGCCUGUUGCCAGCCAGCCUUUGAGACCCAGAGCUCCAGGGCUUGUCAGAGGCAGCAUGGGGCUCCAGUGGUCCCGAGUCUCAUUUCCCUGCCUGCUCUUUAGGCCUUUGGCACCCAUGGUCACUUCACUGGUUUUCCAUUUGGCUUCUCACCUGGGAAAUACAAAAAUAGCCCCUCCUGAAGAUAAAAUCGUUCAGAAACAGAGCAAUAAUUCUGACUCAUUAACUUCUACCUACUCAAAAAAGUCUGCCAUGAUGAUGGACCGAAGUGAGGCUUUUUAACCCACAAGUAACCUUUUUAUUUUUUUGAGACAGUCUUGCUCUGUCUGUCACCCAGGCUGGAGUACAGUGGCAUGAUCUUGGCUCACUGCAGCCUCGACUUCCUGGGCUCAAGUGAUCCACCUCAGCCUCCCAUGUGGCUGGAACCACAGGCACGUGCCACCAUGCCUGGCUAUUUUUUUGUUGAGCUGGGCUCUCGCUUUGUUGCCCAGGCUGGUCUUGAACUCCUCGGCUCAAGCAAUCCUUCCCACUCAGCCUCCUGUAGUGUCGAGAAUAUAGGCGUGGGCUACUACACCUGCUUCAGCCGCUUCUAUAAAACCGCUGACCUGUGUGUGGAGGACAGGCCAGGUGUGUGCUCACUGCGCUGCGAAGAUGUUUUGUCACGUGACUUUCCCUGGGUUUCCAUUUCUUUUUUUCUGCUUUCCUCAAAAACUAAUAGAAGACCGGCUGCGGUAGCUCAGGCCUCUAAUCCCAGCACUUUGGGAGGCUGCAGAUGGCGGAUCACAAGGCCAGGAGUUCGAGACCAGCCUGGCCAACAUGAUGAAACCCUGUCUCUACCAAAAAUACAAAAAUUAGCUGGGUGUGAUGGUGGGUGCCUGUAAUCUCAGCUACUCAGGAGGCUGAGGCAGGAGAAUUGUUUGAACCCCAGAGGCGGAGGUUGCAGUGAGCCAAGAUCGUGCCAUUGCACUCCAGCCUGGGCAACAGGGCAAGAUUCCGUCUCAAAAACAAACACUAUUAGAAAAUGCUCUGGAGGUGGCGGGGAGUUGUUGAUUUGUGAGGACAGAUUGAAAGCAACUCCCAGGGUGGCCUUGUCCACCUCCCCAUCGAGAAUAUGGCUGCCGGCCUCUUUGAAGAUUGUGGUCUGGCAUAAGGAGAGGUGCAGGCGCCUGGUUCUGAGCACCUUGGAAUUUCCAGCCGCACAGAAUCUGGUGCCCUCCCCUCCACCCUCACAAGGAGCUGCCAUCCUGUUUGGAUUUUCUGUUUGUGGACCAGAAACAAACGUUUUUCCAAAGGAUUAGCAAAUAGGUUGAUUUCCUGUGUAACGCUGCUCUGGGGCCUCUUCCUCAUCCUGGCAGAAGGAGCCUGGAGCCCAUGAGGCAGCCAGCACUGUGCCCUUGCUCAGUCGUGCUGUCCCCUCCCUCUCCCUCAGUCUCUUCUCCAUGCCCAAGUCAGUUUCCAGCCGCUGGUCUUCAUGGCAUUCCCAGCACAGCUGGACACCAAGAGGCAAAACCCAAGGCCUGGCUUGGCCGUGUUAACGAUUGUACAGACAUUUUUUUAAAUAACUUUGUGUAAUACUUUUCUAGAAUAGUAAGUUCUUGUUGAACUGUCACAGAUGAGCUUCUAGGAACACACCGGGUGUGGUUACUUCCACUGGGUGUGUCCAUGGUCGUGGUCUGUGCCUUUGUAAACAAACAGAACACUUGAACCACCUUCCGAAUUGGGUCAUCGGCUUCUUUACAUUGAUACUUAGAGAUUUGCAGCUCUCUAACUUUCAAGGAAACUUCCCCUACUGAAAGGCAUAAAAAGGUUAAAAAAGAAAAUCCGAGAGUCCCAAUUCCCUGUAUAACAGCAUUAAAAUAAUCUGCCUGCCUGGAAAGAUGAGAACACUGUUGCACAACCCAAAAUGUGUUUUUAAUUUGUGAAAAAUUACCAUGGUGAGUCAGACAGUCAUUUUAAACAGCUGAACAGAGACUAUCAUCAGCAAAUAGAGCUCAGCUUUGUAGCUGCCUUUAAAAUCCUUGUCCCAAAUCCGGUGAGCUCUGCUUGCUGCCGCCGCGCUCCUGGGUGAUCACUCAGACGGGUCAGUGGGAAUAACGGGCCAACAAGACAGCUUUUUACAUGUGUCCAAAGGAUGGCCUUUCGAAGGCCUGGAAGUAUUUCACUGUUGGAAGAAGUAAACAAGAAUGACAUUCCAGAUGGAAAUAGAAUUCUCUCUCUUGCCUUUGACCAACAUGGUACUAAGGGGUUUCUUCUUUCCCAAUGUAUGUACGUGCCCUGCUGGGGGCCUUACUUUAUAGAAUGAGAGCAUCUGAGCUUCCCUAAUGAAUCUGGCUAGUUCUGUGUCUGGCUGAGGAUACAGGAGUGGGACAUCCACUCUCGGAUCCCUCAGAGCACAGAAACCUUCAGCUUUGCUGUCUCUGAAGUAUUUCCUCCAGUUUCCCUGCGGGCCCCUAUGUUUGAGUUUGAUGGCUGCUGGAUCCUCACUCAACGAAAACUCGGUUGGAAACUGUUCCGCCUGGCAGUCCUUUUUUGUUGUUUUCCAUCUCAUUUCCCUUCCAUCUGAAAGUGGCAUUCAGCUGACUUGCUCAUUUAGACUGUUCACGGAGUCUGAAUCUGCCAACGUGGUGUUGGAGGCUCCACCUUGAAAAGGGCCACAGUCAGGGCAACUUUCCCCAUACAGGAAAACUUGAAAAUUACAUCAACAGUCUACGUCACAGCCAAAUUAUAUUUCCUUUAUACCAAACAAAACUAUGGAGAACUAAAAGUACAUCACACAAAACGUUUAUAGUGUUUUGCAUGUGACCUAUUUCAGUAUUUAUAUAACUAGAUUAGUGCUUUCUAGCAAACGGUUCUGUUAAUUAGCGAGUCACUGUUGAUUCUGCUGUGGUGGUAAGUUGAUACCGUGUAACUAAUCCCGUGGAUGCCUCCUGGUUAUUUUUGUCCAAACGAAGCAGCCGUGGUAGUAGCUGUCUAUGAUUCUUGCUCAGCAAAGUAAAAUAAAUGUUAAAUAUGGA